CACGUAGGGGGCAAGCGUUGUCCGGAUUUAUUGGGCGUAAAGAGCUCGUAGGUGGUUCAGUAAGUCGGGUGUGAAACCUCCAGGCUCAACCUGGAGACGCCACCCGAUACUGCUGUGACUAGAGUCCAGUAGGGGAGCGUGGAAUUCCUGGUGUAGCGGUGAAAUGCGCAGAUAUCAGGAAGAACACCCGUGGCGAAGGCGGUUCUCUGGGACGGUACUGACGCUGAGACGCGAAAGCGUGGGGAGCGAACAGG
rnacentral:rRNA from 1 species